AUUGAACGCUGGCGGCAUGCCUUACACAUGCAAGUCGAACGGUAACAGGUCUUCGGAUGCUGACGAGUGGCGAACGGGUGAGUAAUACAUCGGAACGUGCCCGAUCGUGGGGGAUAACGAGGCGAAAGCUUUGUUAAUACCGCAUACGAUCUAGGGAGGAAAGCGGGGGAUCUUCGGACCUCGGGCGGACGGGGCGGCCGAUGGCAGAUUAGGUAGUUGGUGGGAUAAAAGCUUACCAAGCCGACGAUCUGUAGCUGGUCUGAGAGGAUGAUCAGCCACACUGGGACUGAGACACGGCCCAGACUCCUACGGGAGGCAGCAGUGGGGAAUUUUGGACAAUGGGCGAAAGCCUGAUCCAGCCAUGCCGCGUGCAGGAUGAAGGCCUUCGGGUUGUAAACUGCUUUUGUACGGAACGAAAAGCCUCUUUCUAAUAAAGAGGGGUCAUGACGGUACCGUAAGAAUAAGCACCGGCUAACUACGUG
rnacentral:rRNA from 1 species